rnacentral:piRNA from 1 species
UGAUGUCUAUCACAUGAAAGCUAAUGGUC